CUUGUUUGGAAAGUACAAAUCAAAACAAAAAAAUCACAUCGUGACAAGGAAUAUUCGUUUUUUGGGCUACCAAAUGAUCCGGAAAUUUAAAACAAAUGCCCACUCCCGAACUGAAGUGUUCAUGAAUUUAAGAAUGUUAUCUAUUAUGGAAGAAACGGAUCUGCAAGUUGAAAAACUAAAAGUAAAACUGAUCCGAAAUUGGCGUAUACUCUGCUACUGAUUGCGUUCGCUUUUGCAAUUGCUGAGAAUGUUUAUCGCGCAAAGUGGACCCGAUUUUCUGUGGGAGUCAAUGGAGAGUUGAAAAUGAGUUCUAGGAUCUGCUCUGAUCAUCUUGACAAAAAGUGCAUUUUAAAGACAUAUCCGAGAGUGCUGAUGCUUGAAAAUUCGAUUCCAACAAUCCUAGAAAGCAAAAGAAGUGCCGCAGAGCCUGCAGAAGUACUGCUUCAUUCAUGCGAACGUUUCUGUGAGUGAGAUGUUACUGGGAGGCACGAUUUAAAAGUCUUGACAAAGACAAGAUAAAAAUGAAGAGAUUUACAGUCAAAAGGAAUUAGAAUUGCUCGUAUAAGGCGAAAAAGCUAGAAUUAAUAGAAUUAAUUUAUAGGAUUAAUUUAUUGAACAAGUAUUACGUUGUUUAUAAAAUAUAUGCGCAAAACUUCAUUAUAAUUAUUACUGUUAAGCAAUCUGUAUUGUGCAAAUCAAAGAAUUCAUUUUGUGCAAUAAACAAGUCAUGCGAUA